rnacentral:misc_RNA from 1 species
UUUCCGUAGGUGAACCUGCGGAAGGAUCAUUGUUGUAUAACCGAGGUGCGAGGGCUGUCGCUGACCCGAAAGGUCGUGCACGCCCGAGUGCCCUCACACGCAUCCAUCUCACCCCUAUGUGCACCACCGCGUGCGUCCCCCUUUGGCUUGUUCGGAGGGGGGCUUACGUUUUCACACAAACUUUGUAUGCAGUGUAGAAUGUAUUUUUUGUUUUUGCGAUCACGCAAUCAAUACAACUUUCAACAACGGAUCUCUUGGCUCUC